CGCCUCCUGUACCUAUUCGCUCUGCUAUCGUGUGAAGGGUCUGCUAACAAGCGACCAAACAGAAAGGGAGACCUUACGAGAAAAAGAGAAGAGGACGUUGGAAUAACAUUAGAAGACGCGGACACUUAAAAGGCUUCUUUGCUGGGGACUCUCAGAGACUCACUGAAGUCUGACCCCUCCCAUCUGAGAGAUCUGGACCUGAGUCUUAACCAUCUGCAGGAUUAAGGAGUGGAGCUGCUGAGUUCUGGACUAAAGAGUCCAAACUGCAGACUGGAGGCUUUCAGUCUGAGGAACUGCAGUCUGUCAGAGAUCAGCUGUGCUGCUCUGGCCUCAGCUCUGAAGUCCAACCCCUCCCACCUGAGAGAGCUGGACCUGAGUUACAACGCUCUGCAG